GAUGAACGCUAGCUAUAGGCUUAGCACAUGCAAGUCGAGGGGUAACGAGAGGGAAGCUUGCUUUCCUUGUCGACGACCGGCGCACGGGUGAGUAACGCGUAUCCAACCUGCCCCCAACUAGGGAAUAACCUUGCGAAAGUAAGACUAAUACCCUAUAAUUUCCUCAGAUGUCAUCUGACAAGGAAUAAAGAUUUAUCGGUCGUGGAUGGGGAUGCGUCUGAUUAGCUUGUUGGCGGGGUAACGGCCCACCAAGGCAACGAUCAGUAGGGGUUCUGAGAGGAAGGUCCCCCACACUGGAACUGAGACACGGUCCAAACUCCUACGGGAGGCAGCAGUGAGGAAUAUUGGUCAAUGGGCGGAAGCCUGAACCAGCCAAGUAGCGUGCAGGAUGACGGCCCUAUGGUUGUAAACUGCUUUUAUACAGGAAUAAAGUUAGCCACGUGUGGUUAUUUGUAGGUACUGUAUGAAUAAGGACCGGCUAAUUCCGUGCCAGCCGCCGCCGUAA
rnacentral:rRNA from 1 species